rnacentral:lncRNA from 1 species
CAGUUCUUUUCGGUCAAUACGUCCCGCAAAAAGAACAAUCAAGUAUGGCUGUGUUACUAACAAACAGAGGAUUGCAAUGAAACCAACCAUGACUGGAUAAACGUGAAUUUAGCGGGAGUAAUUACAUCGAAUGCUUCGUCGAAAGUUGAAGGAGUCGGAAUUCAUGACACUAGCCGUUUAGAAAAUGUUUUGUGUUAUGCUAUAAAAAUUGAUUUUAUCGAACAAACGACCAUUUAUUGUGAAGAUUGGGCCUUUUGUAUCACCAAAAGAAGAAGAUCUUCAAAGAUGACAUCCUGUGACUAAUGAGGUCUGGCCGCCAGACAACCUGCCCGCUCGACCACAUCUCCUCCUCCCUUCUCCAGACCAUCUCUGGAGACCUUCUCUUAUUCCUCUCCGCCCUCAUCAACUCACCCCUGACCACUGGCAGUGUUCCCUCUGACUUCGAAAUGUUGCUCCUCUCCACAAGAAACCAACAGUCGACUCAACUGAUGUCAAAAACUAUAGACCCGUAUCACUUUUUUUCUUUACAAAACUGUCUCUGAUGAACUUUUUUGUUAUUUCUCUCAAAAUGAUCUACCUGACCCAAACCAGUCAGGCUUGAAGAUGGGUCACUCAACCGAGACUGCUCUUCUCUGUGUUUACGGAGGAUCUCCGCAUUGGCAAAGCUGACUCUCUCCUCUGUUCUCAUCCUCCUCUUUCAAUAAUAGUGUUGCCCUGAAUUGGUGACAUCCAACACAUCUCAGUGGAAAAAGGAAUAUGGAAUGCCUGGUCGAUGCUUGAUGAGAAGGAUAUUUUUUAAAUAUUUCAGUCUAUUGUGAAUCAUUAAUCCAUACACAGGUAAGAGUAUAGAGUUAAAAUAGCUACAUAUCUAGUCACAUCCCAGUUAGCAAUGAGCAAUCGGCAGGCAGGUAGCCCUCAAAUAAUUCUGCCAUGCAGACAGUAAACUUGAUCGGUGGCCUUACUGGCAGGGUGCCAGUUUUUAAAUGAACAUUUAUUUGCCAGAGAUGCAAAUCAACUCAUCAGAGAUGCAAAUUGCAUCAUAACAGCAAACUGCUUAUCCUUCACUCUGCGGUCCAACUCAUCUCAAACCAUCUUGAACUCAAAAUAAAUCACAGACAGUGUCACCAGCAAAGCACCCC